CUCCCAGCAGCUUGUUGCCCCAGACAUUUAAAGCAGCUGCCCAAGCAGCCCGAGCAGCACAAGCAGCCGCUGCCGCUUCGUCGCCAUUGCCAGGGCACAGGCUAGGAUAGUGCCCAGUUUCCGGGGCCCCAGUAUCUGUCAAGAUGCGUUGUGCGCUGCUGCUGCUCCUCGCGGCCGGGGCUUUCUUUCUAGCCCCCGGAGUUUCCAGUUUGCCCACUGUAUCUGCAGAAGCUUGGCCUCCUGAUUUAUUGACCUCUAGUUAAAUGGACCAAGGUGGGAGGAAUUACUCUCCAGGAGGAUUUUAGGGCCUAGGAUUUGAGGAAUUCCCGGCCAAAUACAUAUUUCACAACCAUCUGAUUGUCAGUGAUUCUCUGCUAAACAUGAAGAGGUGGGGCCUAGCCAAAUUGACUCUUGGGCAAAUGGAGCUUGUCUGCCAGGGUUGGAAGAUUUGGACCUGUCAUCAUCAUCCUGGGAGUGUCCCAGAAAUAGCGGUGAUUGGUGGCAGUGGGCCAAGGACAAACUUUCAGGAGCCAAGGACAAACCAGAUAUGCUGAAGAAAGGCAGCUUUAAAACUCUGCCAGGGGCCCAGAAGACAGCUACAGCAUGGCUAAGGGGAACUUCAUGAGGAUCCCACUAAUUGAAGAAAUGAACUUCCAGUUGUAGUGUUGGCAGAUUGCUGCAGACUGUGUUGACUUUGAAGAAGACAGCUAGAAAGAGGAAAGACCCUAUACACAAGCAAAAGUCUUUGGCAACCUUAUUGAUGAGAUAGCAUGCCAUUCUGCUACUUGGGCAACAUGGCUGCCAUAUCUAGAGACCCAGCAUGGAGAUAUACUGACAUCUGAUGUUCUGGAGGCACCAGUUCCAGGUCAAACUAAAGCACUGCAAACUUGUAAACUGAUCCAUUCUACCUUAAAGUAAUGGACUGGGUUGCAACAUGGGAGUAAUUUUCAACUUCAGACUCUAACUACAGAAGGCCAGGAUAAGUUUUUAGUAAUGAGUCACCAGAAUGGAUUUCAUCCAUAAAUGUAGUAGCUAUUGUCACUGAAAUUUGUUUAAUUUCCAUAGAAUUACAAUAUUCAAGGAGAAUGGAAGACAUCAAGAUAAAGAAAAUGCUGAGCCGAUGAGGUUUUUAAUUCUUUGUAACAAGUUUAAAGAAAUGCCUUGAAAGGUCCUUGAAGUUCUGCUUCAAACAAUGCUGAAAGUUACAUCAUUUGGCCAACUUGCAGUACAGUCACCUGAGUCAGGGUGGCUAAUUUUAAAAAUAACAUUCUGAUUACAUGGGUAAGAGUCAAGCUGAGAACAGUGACAGGUCCCACAGAUAGCACAUUUUGUCAUUCGUUGAAAGGAAUUACAACUUUUUCUGGGAGCUAGAUACAGAAGAAAUUUCAGGCUUUAUAAUACUUGAUCUAGUCAUAUUCCUCCAAAGGCACCAAACCAACAUCUUCAGCUUUAAUAGUUCUGUACCAUGACUUGCCACUUUUUCAAUAACCUUGCGUUACUGUGAUACAAAGUGAAUUGUUAAUAAAUGGUAUGUAGUGGAAUUGUAAUACCAUGCGUUUAAGAAGACAAUGUAACAUAAUGGACGGUAUGCUGGCCUAAUCUGGAAUUAGGAGACCCGGGUUCAAAUCCCACCUUAGACACUUACUGGCUGUGUGAUCAUGGGCAAGUCACUUAAUCUGUAAGAAACUCAGUUUCCUCAUCUACAAAAUGGGGGUAGUGAUAUGUGUACUACCUAACUCAUUGCUAUGAAGAAAGCAUUUUUGCCAACAUUAAAAUGCUUUGUGAAGGUGAGUGAUUACGACUACUGUAAUCUUUUAGUAUGGUGUGGCACAGUGCAUAUUGUGAAAAGGGAACAAUAUGUCAGAAACUAAGGGGCUAUGAGUUCUACCUUAAGCUUUGCCACUUAUAGACUGUAGCUUGCUUUAUGUCUCUCAGCGUCUUUACCUGUACAGUGGUGAGGAACACUACCAACCUUUCACACCUGGUGGAUAUGAAGAAAAGGUCUUAGAAAUGAUAUAGAUUUUUAUCAAAUGACCUCAAUAAAGCAUCCUGCAGGGAAAAGGCCUUGCUCCUCCUUCCCUCUGACCAAAGAAGCAAUACAGACAAAUAGAUGAUAGAUUUGUAGUUGUUAAUGGGACUGAUCUUCCCACGUGGACGGUGUUAAACUGCUCAUUUUGGAAACCUACGUUCGGUCGUACAAGUCACUUCCAUGUGCUGCAAGUAAUCAUUUAUUAAAGGCAUGCGAGUGAGCUGAAAGACCCAACGUAACACCUUCAUAAGUUGGGCAGUUUUCUACCCUAGUAAGGUCCCGCAUCCCACUUCCUUAUAUAUACCUGCAGAUAUGCACAUAGACUACAUAUACACAUAUGUGUGUGUCUAUAGUUCUAUAUUUGAUCUAUGUAAUACAUAUGUACAGACACAUGCAUUUUUAAGAAAGCAGACUUGUGAUUUCAUUGGUGUUUCAAAGGAGAUCUCAGUAAGGAACUUCCUCUACUGAUACAGACGGGCAACUUAUGCUUUUAGGAAGCUGCCUGGGAGCACUAAAAGGUUAAGUGACUUAUCCAAGGUUCUAUAACCCAAGUGUGGCAGGAGUACAGUCUUUCAGACUCUAAGGACAGUCCUCUUUUAGUUUCUUUUUUCAUAGGAAAUUCUGGUUCAAGUUCUUUACAUCAAAGGUAGAUUUAAUAUCUAUGUCCUGAAUCAAUAAAAAUCUUCCCUGAAUUUCAGUCCCUUACCAAGUGGCUGUCAAAGAAAUAUUACCAUUGAUGGCACCUCAUUAAUGUUUUAUUAAUAAAGUUUGGGAUCUGAAAGGA